GGAUGCUUUCUAUUGCUCCUCUGUAAAAGUUAACAAGAACUUGGCACGGGAACUUUCUUAAGUUAAGAAAUACAGCUGUUUCUGAGCUUUCUUUACUAGCGUGGAGAUGUGAGAGGACCAUGACAGGUUCUCCGUGAAGCCGAUUCCCAGGCACUUAAAACUGUUCACCUGCUCCACCUCAGCUCCACUGAUGUAGACAGGGGUGUGUGUCUUUGUCUCCUUUUUCCUAAAAUCAACUAUCAGCUCCUUGGUUUUGCUGACGUUGAGCAGUAGGUUGUUCUCUGUGCACCACUCUGCAAGUUGUUGAUUUCCUCCUGAUAUGAAGUCUCAUCGUUGUUUGUAAUCCAGCCGAUGAUGGUAGCGUCAUUUGCAAACUUCACAAGAGAGUCAUGGGUGUACAUCGUGAACAUGAGGGUGCUGAGCACACAGCCCUGGGGGGCUCCGGUGUUGAGCACUAGAGUGGAGGAGGUGUGACCGCCAAUCCGAACUGACUGGGGUCUGUUUGAAUGCUGAGCUGAAAUCAAUAAACAGCAUACUGAUGUAGGUGUUGUUAUUUUCAAGAUGUGUGAUCGCUGAGUGGAGGGUAGUGGAGAUGGCAUCCUCUGUGAAUCUGUUGGUUCUGAAUUCAAACUGGUGAGGGUCCAGGCAGACUGGGAUGUUGUCUUUGAUAUGCAGGAGAAAAAGCACUUCAUCAGAAUGGGGGUGAGAGCCACAGACGUUUAGAGCAAUAGACGUUUAGACUAGACACUGCAGACUUUUUAUUCACUUUCAGCAGGAUUCUUCUCACAUCCGCUGUGGAUACUGGACAGUGGCCGGACCUCUGAAGGCGGAGUAGUCUUGACAGCUGACUCUGUGUUGAGGAGAUCAUAACGAGCACAAAAUGUAUUUAGCUCAUCUGGUAAUGUGGCCUCACACAUGAUGGGGGCGCUCCUGCUUUUGUAGCCUGUGAUGGUCUGGAUCGCCUGCCACAUAUUUGGUGUUGUUGGUCUCUCUCCAGUCUGUCCUGAUGUCUCAGCUUUGCCUCCUUGAUGCUAGUUUUCAGUCUUGCUCUGGCGGUGCUGUAAGCUUUCUUGUCACCUGAACAAAAGGCAGCUUUUUGGCUCUGAGUAGAGCUCUCACCUCUCCAUUCAUUCAGGCUUUCUGGUUGAGGAAUGAUUUCAGUGUCUUUGUGAUCACUACAUCAUCAACACAUUUGCUGAUGUAUGAUGUCACUAAUGAUGUAUAUUCCUCAGGUUGAUGUGGUUCUCCUGGGACAGAACAGUCCUGUAGAGCUUCUGUAGCUUCAUCUGUCCACACUUUAACUGUUUUUACUGAUGGUUUGACCCUUUUACUCAGCUGGGAGUAAGCAGGCAGGAGAAGCAGAGAAGUGUGGUCUGAUUGACCAAAGUGGGGGCGGGGGAGGGCUUUGUAGCUGCGAGAAAUGUUUGUACAAACAUGGUCCAGGGUAUUACUUCCCCUGGUGGGGGUGGACAUGCUGAUGGAAUUUAGGUAAAAUAGUUCUGAGGUCUGUUUGAUUAAAAUCACCAACUACAAUAAAAACACCAUCUGGUUGUUUUGUCAUGUGACUGCUGAUGACCUCAUACAGUUCCUGCAGUGCAUUUUUGAAUUUGUAUCUGGGGUAAUGUAAACAACAGCAACAAAAACACUGGUGAAUUCACUGGGCAGAUAAGUGCUUUGCACUGCAGGGAUUGCUGGCCGCUGGCACAAACGGGGGCCGCCGAGGAUUGCAGAACACUAACCCAUGGAUUUGAAGCACUUUGAUCCACCAUAGACACUCUGAUGAAUAGGAGAGUUUGGCGAUCCAUCAGUGACAAACAGGAAAACGAAAUGAACAACACACAGGACAGAGGAGGUGAUGAAGGCAAACUUCAGCAGGCUGACGACUUCACACCACGGUGACCUCUGACCUUCUGUCAGCAUGGCCAACAGGGAGCCGGAGAUGAUGAGGAGGGAGCAGCCUUCACAACACAGAGAGGGAUUAAAGAAGCUAUUGGGGCUUUUUCCGAAAGACUCAGAGAGGUCCGCAUCAGCACGGCGGAGGACUAAAUCACAUCACUAUCAACGGAUGCAUCCGCAACACGGAGCAAUGACCAAAAGCUUACCUUCAAUAUGGAGGCGAUAGAUAACCUGAGACUGGUUGGAUUGCCUGGGUUGGAGAACGGAGACGCAGUAACAUUUUUAGUGGCUACCCGAGGCUACCUCUUAACACGGAUGCAGAACCACCAGUUACCAUCAAGCAGGCCUAUAGAAUAGGCAAGCUGGCCCAAAACUGGGACAAGGCCCAGGGGACAUUGCCGCAGAUUCUCCUUGUGAAAUUUCUGAUGUACCGAGACAAAGACAGAGUAAUGCGAGCAGCGCGUCGUCUUCAGGACAGCCUCGUUAUGUCCUUCCCGGACCUAUCAGCUGAAGUUCAAAAGCAGCUGAAACUUGUCGACAGGCUGAACCAAGGACUGCGUGAUCUGGAUUCUCAAGAGAUACACAAGUAUCCGCUGCUACUAGGGGCCUUUCUGUGUGGCGAUUAAGCCCACGAUAGUUGCAUGAUAAAAACUUCUUAAAAUUUGUUGAAAUAAAUGUUGAUACUUAUUUUCAGUUAAAGUUAACUAAAAACUUCAGCAUCAGUUACAUGGGAGGCAUUUAAAGCCUUUAUCUGAGGGCAAAUGAUCAGGUGACAUCAACACAUGACAUGAGAGAAGAGUUUGGCAAAGCUGUGCCAGAUUUAUUCAAGAUGCCUAACUGCCCUUGAAGGGGUGUGUGUGUGUGUGUGUGUGUGUGCUUGGAUCACACCCAUCUUCGAACUCAGCCUUCAUUUUGACCUCAACUACACAUCUGUAAAGUUGCGUAAGUCGGAGGAAGGGACAAGAAUAAUAAAUCCACAAGAAAUGAAUAAUGUUUUUCAGGAGCUAAAGAUUCUCCAGUUGAACUAUCAGAGCUGUCAGAGGCCAUAUUUAUAAAAAGUUCAAGGACAAACUCCUUGUCCCAUUAUUAGACAUGUUUGAAGAAUCGGUUGAAAGGGGUCAGCUGCCACUAAAAUGAAAACCAGGGAAACCCUCCACAAAGUGUCCAUCCUUCCACCACCAUUUCUCUCAUCAACUCUGAUGUGAAAAUAAUAGCAAAUGUUCUUGCACAGAGAUUUGAGAAACACCUGCCAUCUAUUGAGGCUUUAGAUCAAAAUGGUUUUAUUAAAAGAAGACAAGGCUUCAUUAUAUACGAGUGUUGAACAUCAUACAUGCGAAGAAAGAAGCACCAGAUACGGCCGUGGCAGGACUUGAUGCUGAAAAAGCCUUUGAUAGGAUUCAACAUAAAGUGCUCGCUCAUUUUGGAGUUGGCAGUUACUUACUCAACUGGAUCAAAAUUUUAUAUUAUGAUUCAAGAGCAUCCGUAAUGACCAAAUAUAUAGUAUCUAUACAGUUUUCUCUUUACAGAGGCACCAUUACUUUUUGUUCUAGCCAUUGAGCCUUUAGUUAUUGGAAUUAGAGACAACAACAGGAUAGCAGGUAUUAAAAUGAAUGAUUUUGAGAAUAAAGUAGGAUUGUAUGCUGACGAUAUUUUUUGUGACAGAUUUAAAACAUUAAUAGACCAAGCAAGUCAAGUUGGGUUGAUGGAUUGUUGCAAUGUCUGGCUAUGGAGAUCUAUAGUAAAGGGGAAAUACAACACUUUUGAAAAGAUUUGGGGGUCAUUCAUGACAUUUCUGGAAGGGGAAGAUUUUGCUGAGGCCUUGCAAUUAACUGCUGUUUAUUUUUAUUAUCAUUUUGACUUUUGAGCGGUUAUGUGAUUAUUAAGUGUCGGAUCAUUUCUUUUUAUCCACCAAGAUGUGAUUUUAGUACCUGGUCAACAAGUACGACAGCAGAACUUCCAUUAUAUUCAAAGUGCCUUUAUGUGUUUUGUUUAGGUGUGCCUUUUUUUGUGCCUUUUAUGUUCACUGUGAAGUGUAUGUUUUUCUAUGGCAUGUGGAAAAUACAAUAAACAUAUCCGAUAAUGAAUAUUGACAUACUGAACGGGAUAUAUGAAAAAUAAAGACAACAAAUGUGUGAAUUUACAGCUUAUGUACAGGUUGUGUGGAUAUGGACUGAAUUCAAUUUUUUUCCUAAGACCUACAGAACAUAUACAGAGAUGAUUGAACAAUCAGUCCAGAAGACAAAGACAAAGCAACUGAUGGAUGGUGUGUGUUUUAGUUGGCACUGGUGCAGUAUUCUCCUUAUUUACCAGCUACUGAAUGUAAAUUAAAGUGAUCAGGUGAGAUGGUCUCAGACUGAUGACAUCAGACCAUUAUUCUUAUCUUCCAGCCCCGAUGUUUUCACACAGACGAAGCCAGUUUACUCAUGCAUGGGCACAGGCAGGGUUAAAUCUCAACCUCAGUCUUACAGUAUUUGAUAUUUGAUAGA